UACUCUUUUUCCUUCACCAUGGUUUUGUCUAGGCAUGGGCAUAAUAUCCGAAACCCGAACCCGAAUCCGAACCCGACCCGAAAAAUGGAUAUCGGUUCGGUUUGAUAUUUUGGGAAAUACCCGAUCGGCCCGAUCGGUUUUGAUUUGGCGAUAUUUCGGUUAUCGGGGUCGGUUCGGUUUAAUCCAAAAUCAAACGGUUAACCUGAAAUAACUGGACUUAUGUAUACAUAUAGUAUUAUACAUGUAUACUCUCCUUCAACCAAAACACGUGUAGCAUUAAUUGUUUAUGUUUCCAAGUUUUGCUUUUCUCACGCUAGGCGAUUCCUCGUCUUCUUAAUCUUGAGAAAACCUAAUUCCAUAUAAAAUCAAAGAUACUUGAUCGAAGGGACUCAUGUUUCAAAACCGAAAUUGGGAAUUCUCUAUAUCUCCACCAUCUGCGAUUUCUCGAAAUCGAUCUCAGGUAUGUCUCCAUCUUGUUAUGUUUUGCGAUUUAAGGGUUAUGUAGGGUUUCGUGUAGUUGAUGAUGGUUUACGUUCUAUUUAACCAGCUUGUGUCCGUGAUGAUUGUUUAGUGUUCCAAUUACUUCAAUUUGACUUGUCUGAGAUGGAUAAUUAUCUGAUAAUGGUUCCAUUUAAAUUGUCACAGAUGGAUUCUUCAUCAACUCCAAACCGAGUUUCGUUUGACAACAACAAAGAUGUAGAGGAAGAAGAACAAGAAUUGACUACUCCAGAUAGUAGAGGCAAACGUAAAGAAUCUCCUACAGCCAAUAAAGCUCCCAGGAUUCUUCCUCCAAGGUUCAAAAUCUGGAACCAUUACACAAGGAUGAAGGAGAACCGUGACAAAUGUAUUUGUCAUUACUGCAAGAAGAAGUUUUGUUGUAAAACAAAAUCGGGAACUUCAAACUUGCUGAAGCAUAUCAGCAUAUGCAAACAGUUCUACUCGUAUUCAGAUGGCCAAAGUUCAACUCAGCAAGUCAUAGAUGAAGAAGGGAAUGUGAUGUCUGCAAAAGUCAGUGAAGAAACUUUCAAAGAAGCAACGAAUGAGAUGAUGGUGAUAGGGGAGUUACCAUUAUGUUGGGUAGAAAGUGUGGCUUGGAAACACUUCUAUGAAAUUAGACAAACCUGUGUCAAGGAGGACCUCAACAAGGGAGAUUGUAAAGAUGUACUUGCAGAGGAAGGUUGCUAUGAAAAAGUGGUUUGAAGCAAACAAGCAAAGAGUAUCUCUGAAUACUGAUAUUUGGGAGGCUAAAAUAACCCGUAAGCUUUUUGAAUCUUAAAUUAAAUGAGUAUGUACUGAUAUUUGGGUGCUUAUAGCUAACGUGUUGGCAUGCUUAUUAUUGUUCACAGGGGCAAGUUACAUGGUGGUGACUGCGCAUUACAUUGAUGAGUGUUGGCGACUGAAGAAGCUUAUCGUAGGGUUCAAACAUGUCAGUGAUCACAAAGGUCAGACAAUCUAUCGGGUUCUUUUAGAUGUCUUGGCUGAUUGGGGAAUUGAGAAAAUAUUUUGCGUAACUGUUGACUAUGCAACUGCUAAUUCAUCCGCCUUGAGAAGAUUUCACGGCCAGUUCUCUUUAGUGUCUGAUGAUGCACUAGUUUUAGAUGGAGAAUGGUUGCAUAUGAGAUGUAGUGCACACAUCAUCAACUUGAUUGUGAAGGACGGAUUGACUGAUGCUAAUGAGAGUGUGGAUGCAGUCCGUAAUGCUGUAGUCUAUGUUAGAGGUUCAGGAAAUAGGUUGAUAUCCUUUGAGCAGAAAGUAGAAUCUGGUAGAAUGACUAGGGGAAGCUUGCCUUUAGAUGUUACUACUAAGUGGAACUCCACUUACCUGAUGUUGAGUACAGCUUUGAAGUUUAGAGUUGCGUUUGACAAGAUGGAGUAGAGGAUAAACUCUACAACGAUUAUUUUAUGGAGGUGGGGGAUAAAGGAAAGAAGAGAGUGGGACCUCCUCAAUACGCUGACUGGAAAGCAAUCGAAAGACUAGGUCGUUUCUUGGUGAUCUUCUACAACUCUACACUAGUUGUGUCUGCGUCAACAUCUCUCAAUGCUCACAAGUGUUACGAGGAGAUUGUGAACAUAGCCACCAACCUUCUGGCGUUAAGUGAAAGCACAGAUCAUGAGCUGAAGGAUAAGGCUGAGGAGAUGUUCAAAAAGUUUGACAAGUACUAGGAUGGGCUGAAGAACAUCAACAAGAUGUUAAUUGUGGCAACAGUUUUUGAUCCAACAAAGAAGAUGGUGCUGGCAAGCUUGUGUUUUGAUGAGCUCUACGGGAAAGACAGUUUGGAAGGGAAAGCCAUGUAUGAUUCGGUGAUGUCUGUUUUGCGCAGUUUAUUUAAAGGGUAUGGUGCAAGAUAUGGGAAGGAGGCCGGUGGGAAAUCUGAUGAAGCUAAAACUAACAACAGUGGAUCCACUCCUUGUAGUCGAGAACUGAGCAUGAUUGGUACGGAUUUACAUGAUGAUGGUUUAGGUUACAAGCAAAUUGGCCGAAGGUACAAGGAGAUGCUUAAUGAGAUUGGAGUAAAAGAUAAUCGGGAUGAGCUGGAUAUAUACUUGAAAGAAGGAGUUGAGAAUCCAGAUAUGAUGGCUGGUGUAGAGUAUGAUGUGCUCUCGUUUUGGAAGCGAAAUUGUACCAAGUUCCCAAUUUUGUCACGGAUUGCAAAGGAUGUCCUUGCAAUGCAGGUUUCUUCUAUUGCAUCCGAGAGUGCCUUCAGUACAGGUGGAAGGAUCAUAAGCCCAUCUUGAAGCUGCCUUACUCACUUCAUGAUUGAGGUAUUGAUGUGUACUGAACAAUGGCUUAAGCAAGACAUUUCUUGCGAGUCAAGAGUGCUUACUAAUGCAGAAAUCAUUGAAGACAUUGAAGAACAAGAAAAGAUUGAGAGAGAAUUUGCUAUAUGACAUCAAGAGCCUCUUUGUUUCUAAGGUAUUGCACUAAACACCCUUUGGUUUAUAAUGAUUUGCUUCUGUUUCAGUUUGUUUUUAGCUUAACUUUUACGUUUUUCUUUGGCAGGAGUAGUACGUUCCACAUCAUGAUUGUCAAGUACUCCUAAGCUCAAGAUUAUUCCAAUGUCUCUCACUUACGUGUGUGUCUUUCAGUUUAUGUUUGUUGUUUCUUUUAAGUCUUCAGUUUCAAAACUUUUAAUGUUGCUAUUUUCAGUAUUGAUGCGUUUUAGGAUAUUGCUAUUUUCUGUUUUAAAAACCUUUGUAUUCAGUUUCACACAUUCAGUUAAGUGUUUCUUUUGAUUUAUUGUUUUUUUUUGUCUUUUACUUCAGUAUAACCCGAACCGAUCCAAAAAAACCCGAACCCAAAUAAUAUAUGGUUACUUUAUGGGUUUUCAAAUGUGAUACAAAACCGACCCGAAACCUAGGCGUUAUAUCCGAUCCCGACCCGUAGUUAGAAAAUAACUAGAAUGGGACCUAUGAGGUGAUAUAUAAAAAUCCGAAAUCCAAAAUACCCGAUCCGAACGCCAACGGGUGCCCGAACGCUCAGGCCUAGUUUUGUCCCAAUUGGGUUUUCCUGGUAAGGUUUUAAUGAGGCAACAUUAAAGUACAUUACAAGCUCUAAAUGGUUAUGGCAUCCAAGGGGGAGUGUUAUGAACCAGAUUGUGGAUGGCUCAUAACCAAGAGAUUAUGAUUUGUAAUCUUUCCAUUUAUUUAUGACGGUGUAAUCACCUAUAUAAGAAACCUCUAUGCUAUGAAUAAAGAUAGACUUUUCCAUUACUUUUAUAACAAUUUAGUAGUUUUUAGAAUCGGUUCCAAAUGUUUAGAGAUAGUUAUCAUUCCUUUCAAAAAACUAAAAUAAUUAAAUAUUAAUAUAAUUUUUUUUAGAAACCCUCGUAGGUUUUCAUGGUUAAUGGUGUUCUAACAAUCUAUCCAUUAUUUUUUUAUGUAUGAAACUGGCAGCAAUAACCAAGAUUAUGUGUAUAAUAUGUGUUAUUAUUAUUUUUGGCAUGAUUCUUCUCUUUAACAACUCUAUCCAUUCUAUCUCUGGUCAUUGCACCUCAGUUCUCUCUACCUUCAACAUCGGUAUCACCUCGUCCAAUUUCAGUGUCAAUCAUCUCAUUUAUCUCCAUGCUAUCUUCAUAGUCAUUGCAUCCACUUAGGUUUAUCACAUGAUUACAUCCACGGGGUUGUAUCCACUCAGGUUCUUCCACAAGGUUGCAUCCACGGGGUUACAUCAAUUCCCUAAGUUCUUCCUCUUCCAAAUUAGCUUUUGGCUUGACCCUGGCUGCAUCAAUAUAUUUUAAUUAUUGUCCCAGCAUGGAAAACAAAAUGAAUAUGUCAAUCUGGUAAUUUUCGAAUGUCCACCUUCCUUACAGAUAUGGACUCUCUCGGCAACUCAUUCAUGUCCAACGAUUUUUCAAUAACUAGUGUGUAUUCCAAUUUAGAUUAUUUGUUCUAGAAGAAGAAUGACAUAGAAUAUCCGAUGUUGGAUAGAAAUCAUUAUCAGUAGAUGAUUUGGUAUUUUUUGAAAGUCUGUAAUGAUAAACUGUUCAGAAGAGUCACAAGAGACCCGUUAGAACGGGUAAAACAUGUUGAAGAGGAAUGUCGAGCAUGGUUUGAUGUGAAUACAAAGACGGAAAAGACCCUCACUCACAACACCAGCCAUCAACACCUCAAGCUUUAUGCUUAUAGAGUAUUUGUUUGAUAGAAAGAUUGUGGACCUCUGAUUCACGAUACAAUAGAUAUAGCUGGGUUUGGAAAUAUGAGUCUGAGAAGAAGCAUGGGGCUGCGAAACAAAGGAAGACACAUGUCGAUUUUGCAUACAUAAUUUGAAGAUCUUAUUAUUGCUAUAGAGAGUAUGUUUCAUUUUCAACAUGUCAUCACUUUGAGACAAAUUAGAAGGAUCUUAUUUCAAUUAUUCAAAACCGACUUAUGACACAGUUUCUCAACUGAACUGGCAAAGAUAGCAUCUAUACAAGGACGAUUCCAGAACUUCAAAAUUUUCUACAAUUUAAAGGCGCAAAACUAGACGGCAAACUCUUUAACCAAGAUUGCAUGUCUUUUUAUAAGAAUUUAUGUUUAGUUUUUUUUUUUUUUUCGAUAUGAAUUUCCAUACCAAUUCAUGUUUGAGAAAUAAGAAAAAUAAAAUGACCUUUUGGUAUUAAAAAAUUAUCAAAAUGUUUUAGCUAUUGAAAUAUUCUUGUAUUAUUACAAUUUAGCUACUUGAUAUACCAUGAAUUUUACCAGCUUUCAGCCAUGGUAUAUGAUUGUUUUAGAAACUAUUAUAUAUUUUUUGGAGUUUUUUAGAGUCUUUUUAGGUUCAAGUAUGUUUUGGAGAAAUGUGGAGAUUAUGAAGCAUUUUGGAACUGAAGAUAGAAGAAAUGGUUGCUGUUCAGAAACCAGCUAGAGUCAACAUUCAGAUAGAUUGUCGAUCGACAAAGACAAUUUGUCAUCGAUCGACAGCGACACGAAAAGACAGGCUGACUUGUUCGAGGCCGACUUGAGCCCAGAUAAUCAACAUAAUUACUUAACAUAAGAUACCUUUUAAUUGCAAAAGUAAAGUACGACGACUUUCAGCGACAAUAAGAAGAUUUUCACUGACAGUUGAGACGACUUCCACCGAUAGUUGAAACGACUUCCAUGGAAGUCUUAUGUAGAUAAGACUUCCAUGUAAGUCUUCUAGAGAAAGUUAAAUUUCUGACACAAUUCGGUCAAUUGCAAAACGAACAUGUUUAUCCGAGAAGGCUUUCCGGUAAGUCUUUUUUGGUAUUUUCGAGAUUUGUUUGUUAACAAAGAAAAGUUGAAAGACUUCCAGGAAGUCGUCUUUAAAAAACACACAAAAAAUCAAUUACAAAUCUAACAUUUGCAUUGACCAGAAGAUUUCCAUAUAAGUAUUUUCGUUGGAGAAGACUUACACGAAAGUCAAUUAGCGAACAGAUCUGGAAAAUUUUCAAAAAUCUUUCUUAGAUUUAGUGGGGUUCAUGUUUAACUUCUCCAAGUACACAUAAGUUUUUAAUGAAAAUUACCCACUCGUUCAAGAAUCAUGAACUUGAAUAACUCUAGUAAGUUUAUAAAUUUUGAAAUAAAAGUUGGGAUUUUGGGAUGAAAUCAGAGAGGAAGUGAAAGGAAAAUAGUUUGUGUGUGUAAAAAAUAAGAAUAUGAAGAUGUAGAUGCACUUUAAGUGCAUUUAGAGCUUGAAAUUGGUUGUUCACGGUGGUUGGUGUAUUGAUGAUAAUGAAUAAAAGAAGAAGAUAAGAAUGAUUGAGUAAAACAAGCAUUUUCGAAAAAAAUAAAAUAAUAAAUAACAUUUUUUUGAAUAAUCCGAAGUUUUGGGUGAAUAGAAUAAAUGGAAGUUUUUUUAAAAAAUAUUACUUAGUUUUGCAUUUGACUUUAAAAUUUGAGUCAAUUUUGCAACAAUCCCUAAUGUAAAUAUAAUGAAACAUAUAUGUUUUUAUGUAAGUCACAUGUGAUCUAAUGUAAGUGAAAUGUAUAUGUCUAAAUUUAAACGAUAAUUUUUGUAUAAUAGAUAAAAAAAAUUCAUUUAUUUUAAAAGUGUUACUUUGUCAUUUUUCACACAAAUUAAUAAAGCGAUUGAAAUGCA